rnacentral:rRNA from 1 species
GGAUCAGUACGUUGGUCGUGCCUUGGUAUGUACUGGUGUUACUGAUUCCUCCCUUCUGACGAACCUUCAUGCCAUUCACUUGGUGUGAUGGGAAAUCAGGACUGUUACUUUGAAAAAAUUAGAGUGUUUAAAGCAGGCAUUCGCUUGAAUACAUUAGCAUGGAAUAAUAAAAUAGGACUU